CCUACGGGUGGCAGCAGUGAGGAAUAUUGGUCAAUGGACGAGAGUCUGAACCAGCCAAGUAGCGUGAAGGAUGACUGCCCUAUGGGUUGUAAACUUCUUUUAUAAAGGAAUAAAACGAGGCACGUGUGCCUUUUUGCAUGUACUUUAUGAAUAAGGAUCGGCUAACUCCGUGCCAGCAGCCGCGGUAAUACGGAGGAUCCGAGCGUUAUCCGGAUUUAUUGGGUUUAAAGGGAGCGUAGAUGGGUUGUUAAGUCAGUUGUGAAAGUUUGCGGCUCAACCGUAAAAUUGCAAGUGAUACUGGCAGUCGUGAGUACAGUUGAGGUAGGCGGAAUUCGUGGUGUAGCGGUGAAAUGCUUAGAUAUCACGAAGAACCCCGAGUGCGAAGGCAGCUUACUAAACUGUGACUGACAUUGAUGCUCGAAAGUGUGGGUAUCAAACAGGAUUAGAUACCCGGGUAGUC
rnacentral:rRNA from 1 species